GAAGGGUUUCAUCCAGUCGCUGUCGGCUUGCCGAUGGAGGAAAGUCCGGGCUCCGCAGGGCAGGGUGCAGGAGAAAUUCCUGUGGGUGCGAACCCAAGGAAAGUGCCACAGAAAACAAACCGCCGGGAAACCGGCAAGGGUGAAAAGGCGAGGCAAGAGCUCACCGGACGCGCGGCGACGCGCGUGCCUGGCAAACCCCACCCGGAGCAAGAUCGAAUAGGGGAGGAUGACGCGGCCCGCCGACUCCCGGGUACGAUCGCUCAGAUAAAUGACUGGACACGACAGAACCCGGCUUACGAAACGCUUCCCGC
rnacentral:RNase_P_RNA from 1 species